CGUCAUGCUUGUUGUGAUAAACCCGUUUUUUUGGUGCUUUCAAUGCAACUGGGAACAAAUCAUGACAUCAGUGAUAUUCAGGUCGGAAGCCGGAGCUUUAGAAAGAUGCCAGAGUUUCUGACUUUGAAUUCAGAGUUCGAUGACCGUCCAUAACGAUUUUUCCCAGUUUGUUUCCCGAGUUCUUAGCUGUCUUGAGCGCUCGGAAGUCGGAGAUUUCAGUUUCCAGUUUUGAACCCAGCAUUUCUGUUGCGCCCUAGCUCCAUACGUCAUCACUACAAGUGCUAUUUUAUCUGCCAGAUACUAUAAACGCCCACGUUCUGGAUACGCCAAGCAAAAAGAGGGACUGAUCGAACAGCCAAUGGAAAGGCAAAGGCAAAAUGCCCACCCAGCCGGAGUCAGCUAGGAGAGAGAGUACUUUUUGUCUUUAUUGAGGAACCAUCUCCUUUCGACUCGAGAGAGAGAGAUCAGGGUUGUACAACAGCUUAGACUACAGGGAUCACAGAAACCACACACACACCUAGCAUUUCACUGUAUCCUAUUUCUAACAGUUCAGCAGAAGGCCACCACACCACAUUAGAGUUGUUAAGACAGAGCCUAUAAACAACAGUUAGACUGAUUACCACAGGAAGCAGUACUGGACAGCCAUGCAGGCCAAGG